ACCAGCAGAACCCACAGAGACCCGUUAGAACCAGCAGAACCCACAGAGACCCGUUAGAACCAGCAGAACCCACAGAGACCCGUUAGAACCAGCAGAACCCACAGAGACCCGUUAGAACCCGCAGAGACCCGUUAGAACCCGCAGAGACCCGUUAGAACCAGCAGAACCCACAGAGACCCGUUAGAACCAGCAGAGACCCGUUAGAACCCACAGAGACCCGUUAGAAUCCAGCAGAACCAGCAGAGACCCGUUAGAACCAGCAGAACCCACAGAGACCCGUUAGAACCCGCAGAGACCCGUUAGAACCCACAGAGACCCGUUAGAACCCACAGAGACCCGUUAGAACCCACAGAGACCCGUUAGAACCCACAGAGACCCGUUAGAAUCCAGCAGAACCAGCAGAGACCCGUUAGAACCAGCAGAACCCACAGAGACCCGUUAGAACCAGCAGAACCCACAGAGACCCGUUAGAACCAGCAGAACCCACAGAGACUCGUUAGAACCAGCAGAGACCCGUUAGAAUCCAGCAGAACCCACAGAGACCCGUUAGAACCAGCAGAACCCACAGAGACCCGUUAGAACCAGCAGAGACCCGUUAGAACCAGCAGAGACCCGUUAGAACCAGCAGAACCCACAGAGACCCGUUAGAACCAUCAGAGACCCGUUAGAACCAUCAGAGACCCGUUAGAAUCCAGCAGAACCCACAGAGACCCGUUAGAACCAUCAGAGACCCGUUAGAAUCCAGCAGAACCCACAGAGACCCGUUAGAACCAGCAGAACCCACAGAGACCCGUUAGAACCAUCAGAGACCCGUUAGAAUCCAGCAGAACCCGCAGAGACCCGUUAGAAUCCAGCAGAACCCACAGAGACCCGUUAGAACCAGCAGAGACCCGUUAGAACCAGCAGAGACCCGUUAGAACCAUCAGAGACCCGUUAGAAUCCAGCAGAACCCACAGAGACCCGUUAGAACCAGCAGAACCCACAGAGACCCGUUAGAACCAUCAGAGACCCGUUAGAAUCCAGCAGAACCAGCAGAGACCCGUUAGAAUCCAGCAGAACCCACAGAGACCCGUUAGAACCAGCAGAGACCCGUUAGAACCAGCAGAGACCCGUUAGAAUCCAGCAGAACCCACAGAGACCCGUUAGAACCAUCAGAGACCCGUUAGAAUCCAGCAGAACCCACAGAGACCCGUUAGAACCAGCAGAACCCACAGAGACCCGUUAGAACCAUCAGAGACCCGUUAGAAUCCAGCAGAACCCGCAGAGACCCGUUAGAAUCCAGCAGAACCAGCAGAGACCCGUUAGAACCAUCAGAGACCCGUUAGAAUCCAGCAGAACCCACAGAGACCCGUUAGAACCAGCAGAGACCCGUUAGAACCAGCAGAGACCCGUUAGAACCAGCAGAGACCCGUUAGAACCAUCAGAGACCCGUUAGAAUCCAGCAGAACCCACAGAGACCCGUUAGAACCAGCAGAGACCCCAGAGACCCGUUAGAACCAGCAGAACCCACAGAGACCCGUUAGAACCAGCAGAACCAGCAGAGACCCGUUAGAACCAGCAGAGACCCGUUAGAACCAGCAGAACCCACAGAGACCCGUUAGAACCAGCAGAGACCCGUUAGAACCAGCAGAGACCCGUUAGAACCAGCAGAGACCCGUUAGAACCAGCAGAACCCACAGAGACUCGUUAGAACCAGCAGAACCAGCAGAGACCCGUUAGAACCAGCAGAGACCCGUUAGAACCAGCAGAGACCCGUUAGAAUCCAGCAGAACCCACAGAGACUCGUUAGAACCAGCAGAGACCCGUUAGAAUCCAGCAGAACCAGCAGAGACCCGUUAGAACCAGCAGAACCAGCAGAGACCCGUUAGAACCAUCAGAGACCCGUUAGAAUCCAGCAGAACCCACAGAGACCCGUUAGAACCAGCAGAACCCACAGAGACCCGUUAGAACCAUCAGAGACCCGUUAGAACCAGCAGAGACCCGUUAGAACCAUCAGAACCCACAGAGACCCGUUAGAACCCAACAGAACCCACAGAGACCCGUUAGAACCAGCAGAACCCACAGAGACCCGUUAGAACCAGCAGAACCCACAGAGACCCGUUAGAACCCAACAGAACCCACAGAGACCCGUUAGAACCCAACAGAACCCACAGAGACCCGUUAGAACCAGCAGAACCCACAGAGACCCGUUAGAACCAGCAGAACCCACAGAGACCCGUUAGAACCCAACAGAACCCACAGAGACCCGUUAGAACCAUCAGAGACCCGUUAGAACCAGCAGAACCCGCAGAGACCCGUUAGAACCAGCAGAACCCACAGAGACCCGUUAGAACCCAACAGAACCCACAGAGACCCGUUAGAACCAUCAGAGACCCGUUAGAACCAGCAGAACC